UACGAAGGGUGCUAGCGUUGCUCGGAAUCACUGGGCGUAAAGCGCACGUAGGCGGCUUCUUAAGUCAGGGGUGAAAUCCUGGAGCUCAACUCCAGAACUGCCUUUGAUACUGAGAAGCUUGAGUCCGGGAGAGGUGAGUGGAACUGCGAGUGUAGAGGUGAAAUUCGUAGAUAUUCGCAAGAACACCAGUGGCGAAGGCGGCUCACUGGCCCGGUACUGACGCUGAGGUGCGAAAGCGUGGGGAGCAAACAGG
rnacentral:rRNA from 1 species